rnacentral:lncRNA from 1 species
UCACACAGUUGCUCCGGGAAGGAGUUCGCAGCUCGCGUGCAUGCUCGGUUGCUGAAGGUAUGCGUUCGUUUAGAUGUUGUUAAUGCACCUAUGGUUAUCAGUGUGGAUUUAGUUUGGUGACAUUUUUGAGGCAACCAUGCUGUGGCAAAGCUGAUUGAUUUGUGGAUUUGAAUUCUGGGUGGCUUAAUUUGUCACUAUCAGCUAUCUAUGAUUGAUGUUGAGUUGUUGCUUUUUGUGGCUGUUGCUUGAUUAGUGUGGUAUUCUCACGUUGUAAUGUCGCAUUAUUACUGGCACUAAGUAACAGAGAGUUCCAGGGUCACAACUAAGUUGGUAUCUACACUAUUUGUAUCAGAAAUACAUGUGACACCAUCAUUUGACAUCUAAACAUUGCUGAUGCUUAUGCCAUUGUAUGCACAACAGGCGCCUUCGCCACAUUGUCAUUCAUUUGUGAGAUGUUUCUCUUUCUCUAUGUUGGCAUGGAUGAUAUAUAGAGUAGUGGAAGAUUGUUAGUGAAACACAUUCAGGUAUGCUAUCUAUCUGAUUCUUUCCAUGUGUGUAGUAACAUAUUCGUUGUUCAAAUCCAGAAAUUGUAACACAUUUUCUAUACUACUAUAUGUAGCCCAAUGAAAUGUAUCGCCUUGAGCUCCAUUAUUUAGGCCAGAUCACAUGAGAGAUUUUGUGUCAAUUGCAUUGACAUCCAAUAAGGUAAAAGCUCUGAUUUAUAUUAGGAGGCGUACCCAUCUGUCUGAAGACUGCUCUUAAUAUAUUCUUCUCUUUCUCAUGUUGUAACAUUUAGAUCAGUCCACUUAUCGGAUUUUAAUUCCAUGUGCUCGGAUGCAUAUUUGAAUAAAUCAUCCAGUCCUUCUAGCUGUUGUACCAACAAAUG